rnacentral:tRNA from 1 species
AUUUCAAUGGCUCAGCGGGUAAAGAAUCUGCCUGCAAUGCAGGAGAUGCAGGUUUGAUCUCUGGUUGGAAAUA